AUGGAUUGGGAAACCCUAAUGCAAAACCCUAAUCCAUUGGCCAAUAUGUGUUCAACACCUUUGAAUCAUGUCCUAUUGUCUCUUGCCAUCACAUCCUUCUACCCAUCCAAUUAUCACCCUCCACAUGUCUCACUACUUACUUGGAUUCUAAGUUGACAUUGUACAUGCAUUCUAAGUUGACAUUCAUGGAUUGUGUAUGCAUUAGGUUUCUUGGAAAUUGCAUUCACAAAGUCAACUAUGACAUUAUGCCACUACUUACUUCACUUUCUUCACAAUGUCAACCAUCACAUGAUGUAAUGAUUGUUCUUCCAAUCUUCUUAUUGGCUGCCUAUUCUUCUACAUCCAUUCAUUCAUACAUUGUAGAUUGCUUCACAAAGUUAACCAUCACAUUAUAUAAUCAUUGUUCUUCCAAUCCUCUCAUUGGCUACCUAUUUUCUUUGCAAAUUGACAAAAAUUGACUCUUCCUCUACAUGGUUUAUGCAAACAAUUGGUUGAUUUGCUGGUUUUAUGAUAGCUGAUUUAUACAAUCAACUGGUUUAUGUAAACAAUUGGAUGCAUGUGUUGUGUUGCUGAUUUAUAGCACAGAAGAAGGUAUUCUCACUCAUUUUCUCUCUCUCUCUCUCUCUCUCUCUCUCUCUCUCUCGUCCGCACAACCACACCAAACAAACACCAUGCCUCACCUCCUCCACAAUCACCACCGAACAAGACCUCACCUCCGCCUCAGUUUGCCGCCACAAUCACCACCGAACAAGACCUCACCUCCACCUCAGUUCGCCGUCCAAUCCAUCGCGGCUACCUAAUCAACCCCCACCUCCAACGUGAUAUCUGGUCUCAUCUCUUCACCUCAAUCCUUCACAUAAACCCUUCUCAAUCCUCUGUCCUCUCACUGAACCUCUCUUCACUCUGCCAUCAAUUCAACACUCCGUUGACAGAAAAAGGAAGCACUUGCUCAACACAGGACAUGGAAAAAGAAAUUGCACGGGCCAAAGAAAUUGUAUGACACUUGAAGAGUCUGUUGGAAAAAGACUGCAAAAAUAUGGGGGAUCAGAUAAUAAAGAAUUGCUUCAGAGGGAAGUUGGUUUUCGGUGGUUAUUCAGUUUCAAAUCAAAAUCACCGGAAAAGCCAGUCGCGCCACCACCACAAAAGCUUUUUCUAUGCGACAGACUGGCUGCUGAAGAAUCAAGUUAAGGGAGGAAUUUGAAAGUGAGGGCAGAAAGCUUACUCCUAAAGAAGAGUCACAGACUUUUGAUUCAAAUGUAAUCACGUCUGGAACUGAAUUCAUGGUUGUUUUAUCAAUUGCAGUUCAGUAUUAUGUUCAUCUUAAGCUGAACAAUGACCCUGGUUGGAAAAAUAUCAAGGUUAUUCUUUCUGAUGCAAAUGUUCCCGGUGAAGGGGAGCAUAAGAUUAUUUCCUAUGGUGAUUCGUGUAUAUCUGAAUGUUAUUUUUAUCAAUUGAUUUGAAUUGUUAAUUGCUUUGCACCACAUGCCUAAGAAUUUGGGAUAAGCAUAUUAAUUAACUAGCAAUAGCAAUUCCCAUUGAGCCAUGUGCCUCCUUAAAAAUAGCAAUCUCAUCAUCCAAUGCCUAUUUUAUAGGCUAAUUAGAUGGGAUGGUCAUAGUGCAUUUAACAAAGUAACCCAAAUCCCACUAUCACACUGAUUUUGCCUAUUCCCGCCAUAGUUUUGGACGAUGCUCAACCACAUCUCUCUACCUCUUCCAUGUUCCAAUGCAUAUCAUCUCAACCCUUUCCAGGACAUCUCAUCUCAAUCCUAACUUUCAAAGUCUCAAGAAAAUAGAAUCAUCAUAAGUAUUCCUUAUCUUUGGCGACGAUCCAAUGCUUGCAGUGGCUCAUGGUCGCGGUGUAUAUUGUGAUGAUAUCUUGUGUUGAUUGUGACCAUAAGCCUCUACAAAUGCUGGAAGUUUUGUUAUUGCUUUCAGGUGCAGUGUAUUGUGGAAAUAUGGACAGCGGAAGUGUAUGUCCCGUUUACCCUUCUUAUACGCAUAGUAUUAUGAGUAAGGAUGGGUGCACAGUCUCAGAAGAGUGCAUUAAAGACAAUGAUAGUGAGGAUGAUUAUGCGCAUCCAGACGCCUGCACAUGAAUAACUAUGAGAAUCAUGCUUUAUUUUAUUUAUGAGAAUCAUGAUUUAUUUUGUGUUUUUGUGAUGAUGUAAUUUCAGUGUGGAAUACAAUGUUUCGUAUGUGUACCACUCUUUGUUUGCAUACUUUGACAGAGACAACCUACCUCUCAAGGGACUUGCCAAGUUCUUUAAGGAAUAUAGUGAUGAAGAAAGAGAGCAUGCUAUCAAAUAUCAGGGAUGAAACUUAAACUCUCAUUCAGUCAUCCAAAUUCAUUAUAGAAGAAGGCCAUAUAUUUUCAAGGAGGGACGUUUAAGUCAAACCAGUUCUCUAAGCUAGCAUUUGAAAAUAAAUUAUCAGUUGAAGAGAAUUCUAUUAUCCGACUAAUUUGUAAUUUGGAGAUAGUUUGUAUCAGAAAAUCGAUUACUUAUUUGUACAUUUCGUUUUGAUUAUGUAAUUGGAUAUCUUAUAAUACUUAAAUUGGGUCCAGAUUAUAGCUACACUUUUUUUAAUUUAA